rnacentral:lncRNA from 1 species
GGGCCGGCGGGGGAGACGCGCGCCCGGGGGGCGCCCGGCUGGGGCGUGGGAGGCGCGGCGGGCAGCUCAGUGGGGAGCUCUCUCUCGGCUGUCCUCCCCUCCGCCCUCCGGGAGCCUGGGGACGUCCGGAAGGCCGAUCCGGGACGGCGGCUGGACGCUGGAAUUGGGAGGGGGCGGAGAGGAGGCUCCCGCGCGCCCUGGGCUGCCGCCCUCGGAAUCCGCCCGUGACCACCGGCCCGCGCCCGGGCAGGCCCAGCCCUCCUGCAGCCCAGCCCGCUCCUCUACGCCUGGCCCGCGGCCGCUGAGCAGGCCCGGAGGAGCGCAGACCCCUCCCCGCCUCGUCCUCCGUGAGAUGCCCAUGGUGGCAGCCUGCGCUUUCCUCGGGGGCGGGGGGGGGAGCCACUUUGCGCAGGUUGGGUUAAGAAAGGCCGCCCCCCGCGUGGCCCUCCGGAGCGCACUAAGGGGCUGCGGUGAUCGGGCCCCGAGUCGGGUCAGGAGCUCGUCGCUCGCUGAAGCGAAGGACUGUGGCUGUUCGCGCUGAGGCGGAGAGAGGUGGUCAAGUGGCAGCGAGGGGCAAGCAGGAAUUAGGGCCUCCAGACCUUCAGACAAGGCUACUUGCCGCUACCCUAAGCUGAACGCAGCCCAAAGGCUCAGAGGGGUCCUCGGGGCCUUCCUGCAUCCUCCAUCCAGGUUCCGGAGCUGGGGAGAAAGCGCCGCGCCUGAGCGGGUCUGAGUCCCACCAGCCCUCCCCGUCCAUCUGCCGCGCCCUGAGGUCGGACCCUCCCACGGAAGAGGCGGCAGAGAGCGACAGCCGACUGCAGAUACCUCUCGUUUCCUUCAGACCCUUCAAGGGGGAGCGGAACAAAACCAGGUCCCCCAAAGAAAGUGGCCUGGGGGAGAAGGCUCUGGAAGAUGGGAGAGCAGGGACUGACCUGGCGCCCCGACCUCCAGCAGAGGUUGUGUAUGGCCUGUGAAGAGGGC